rfam:Triticum aestivum genome assembly, contig: Triticum_aestivum_CS42_TGACv1_scaffold_033760_1BL
CUACUACUCCCUCCGUCCCGAAUUACUUGUCGCAGAAAUGGAUGUAUCUAGAACUAAAAAAUGUCUAGAUACAUCCCUUUCUACGACAAGUAAUUCUAAACGGAGGGAGUAGUAA